rnacentral:misc_RNA from 1 species
AACACUUGUGCGAGUGACACUCAACAUAACAUCAGCAUCUUCUCUAUCCUUCUGCUACUGGAGAGUUCAGUCCGGUCAUGUCAGUGUGAGUGACACUCACACGAUAACCCUGGCCUUCUCCUAGGAACGACAUACAUACUGUCAUAUACAUAUACAUACAUACAUACAUACCUACAUUUAUAUAUAUAUAUAUAUAUUAUAUAUAUAUAUUAUAUAUAUAUAUGAAUGAUCUUACGCAGAGAUCACACAAAUAUAUCUAGAUUGAUACAGCUUCACAGCACAUGAGUGAGUGCUACACAAUGAUUUCUCCAUCAGCCAGGUAAUGGCAGCAUACAGUUAGCAAACUCUCAAAGGAUCAGACUGUUUCUCUAGUAGUGUCAAAGACAAGGACUAUACAACUCAUGGUGGGGCGGCAGGACAGUGUUGAUUCUACUGAGAGUUUCUUCACUCGUCAUCACAACAGCUGGCAAACAAUGAUGCAUCAACAUAUAGCACUAUCGUUACCUAUGCGGUUUUAUAUUUAUGCCAUCCAUGGCUAUUUCAUUGAAGUGAUGUUCACAGCAGCCUGGGAGUUUGUUGUUAACAUGAAUGUCAAGUUUCCUGGAAACACAAGUGUCUGGUCUCUGUUGAUUUAUGGGGUUGCAAUCCUUGUUGUUGAACAGAUUCAUUAUCGCUUACAGGACACAGUACCAUUGCUGUGUCGAGGACUUAUUUACAUGUUGUGGACUUACCUAUGGGAAUUCAGCACCGGUUAUAUAUUAACACGUUUUGACGCCUGCCCUUGGGACUAUGAUAAUUUUGACUGGGAUAUUAUGGGUCUAGUGACACUUGAGUAUGCACCUUUAUGGUUCUUUGGUGGUAUCCUUACAGAGAAAAUCCUAAUAUUCUAUACUCGUCAUCUAUACUGGGGACCUUACAUGGAUUCAACACGCUACCAAGGGAUGAAUGAUAUCUUUGUUAGACCAUCUGCCAAGAAUCAGUUGUCUGCUCUAUCUGAGGGGACUUUCUGUCUGGAGGUUAUGGAUAAUCUCCUGAAAUCGUGGCCUGGUAGUUUUGCCAUGAAAGAGGGGCAUUGCUGGCUCAUGAUAAACUCUAUAGACAUGGAAUUAUUUUCAGCUAGGCCUCUCUUCGAUGCUUGCAGAGUGAAGAAGCUAUUCUACUCACACUCAUUCAGUAUCCAAGCAUUGUUGACUUGUCAAACAGCUGUUGACACAGGUAAGACUAGUCUGUCUAUCAGUGGAAUCCAUUGUGAUGGGUUCUUUAUUACAUUCCUUUGUCUAAGAAGUUCAUCAUGAUAAUCAUUUUACAACCUUCUUUUAUCUAAGAAAGGCAGGUGGUUUUCUCUGUCUUGUAGCUCUGGCAAAAGAGAUUGUGUGGUGCAUGCAACUUCAAGGACUGAAGAUAGAUAUUUAUUUCUUCAGUCAAGCCCUCAUUGUCUUUAUCAAGUUCCACUUUUAAGGUGAAGA